UAGAUCUCAAAGUCUCAAAGGAAAGCAAACCCUAAGUCCUUAUCCAGUUGAGUACUUAAACUAAAGUUUGAGUGAGCUCUUUCUUCUUAGUCCCUUUCUGCUGCUAUUGCAAGAACAGCUGAAGAUUGGAAGUGGUGAAGAUCCAGAACCAGAAUAGCAUAAGAACAAGGUUUAGGACUGUAAUGAUGUUGUUAACUAGUGGAGUGAUUAUGAGGAAGAAGAAGAAAAAGAGGAAGAAGAGUGUUUUUGGGUAAUUUGUUGUUUGGUUUGUGCGGUCUCGGAAAUUAAUCACACACCAUUAGCUGAACCUGUUGUUGUUCCAUAUUUCCCAAAGAUAUGUUGUCAGGGAUAAAGAUCAGUCUUAGUCUUGGAAAUACAGAGGAGAUUGUAAAACUCCAACUGCUAUAUAUUUCCCAAAGAUGGAUUAAGGUGCAUCUGGGAUGUGUUCCCUAUUUCCAAAAGAGAUGCGAAGGGGGUAAAGAUUUAUAGGGUAUUCUUUGCCCUGCAAAUCCUUCUUCUAAGAUGUGAUAUCCAAGUGAUGAAAUGGAAGACAUAGAUGUCAUGCAAAAGUUGGACAUCUUUAUGAGCUUAAAGUGAAACACAAUUGGAUCAUGCUAUGGUUGUGAACUGUGAAAUUACAUAAUCAUAUAGUUCAGUAUUUGUAGUAUCACAAAAAAUUCAUCCAUUGAUGUAAUUUUUAUACUUUUUAAAAAUGUAGUCCUUUGUAAUGUCAUAAAACUUAUUCAUUGUCGCCACCUUGAAUAAAAAAUUCACUGCAAUUUGAUAUGAA